rnacentral:misc_RNA from 1 species
AAAAAAAAAGUAUAGAACCGAACCAAAUAAUGCUUUUAAUUAAUUAUUAGGUGCAAAAUUAGAGUUAAAAUAGGAAAUGUGACUAAAAUUAAGUCUAAAUGAGUUCACAAUAAGACCCAAAAAAGCCCAAGACGAAGUCCAAAAGGAUAAAUCAAAUCAAAUCGAACUGAACCAGCUCGAUUCGAUUUUCUCCCUAAUUCAGUUUGGU